AUUGAACGCUGGCGGCAGGCCUCAUACAUGCAAGUUGAACGAGAAAGUAUCUUCGGAUGCGAGUACAGUGGCGGACGGGUGAGUAAUACAUAGGAAUCUACCCAAUGGAGGGGGAUAGCUCGAGGAAACUCGAAUUAAUACCGCAUAAUCUCCACGGAGUAAAGAGGGCUUCGGCUCUUGCCAUCGGAUGAGCCUAUGCAAGAUUAGCUUGUUGGUAAGGUAAUGGCUUACCAAGGCUACGAUCUUUAGCUGGUUUGAGAGGACGACCAGCCACAUCGGGACUGAGACACGGCCCGGACUUCUACGGAAGGCAGCAGUAGGGAAUAUUGGACAAUGAGCGAAAGCUUGAUCCAGCCAUGCCGCGUGUGCGAUGAAGACCUUCGGGUUGUAAAGCACUUUAGGUUAUGAGAAAAGAUUUGGUAUUAAUACCACCAAAUUUUGAUGUUAAUUACAGAAUAAGCACCGGCUAAAUCCG
rnacentral:rRNA from 1 species